AAGUCGUAACAAGGUUUCCGUAGGUGAACCUGCGGAAGGAUCAUUAUCGGUCGUUCUGGCUUCGAUGUCGGAAACACUGGUAACAACCACGGGACGGGUCCCCGGAUCCUGUUCUAGCGGUCUCGGCCUGUCUGCCGGACCUGACACGUCUCGGCCCGGAUCUCGAUAGUUUGUCGGGGUCUCGGCGUCUUGACGGCCCGCGGUCUGAGGUACUGUAGCCCGUUGACAGGGAGCUUUGCUCCGAGAGGGAAAACAGUUCAAAGAGCUCUCGCCUCCGCCCGGGUUAGCGAUCUCCCCCUCGAAGGGAAGUGUAGUCGUAUUUCGUUUGGGUCUCACGACUCGCUCGAACCUCGGGUUUGAGAACACGAACACAACACUAUACAGUGGAUCAUUUGGCUUGGGGGUCGAUGAAGAACGGAGCUAACUCUGUGAUGCCGUGUGAACUGCAGGACACAUGAACAUCGACAUUUUGAACGCAUAUUGCGGAAAUAAGCUUGUCUUGUUUCCAUAUCUGGCUCAGGGUCGGUUUUACAUCCAUCGGACGGUUCGCCGUGCGCUUUGGACUGUCGUGUCGCCAGUCGGCACGCGGUCUCCAGGUAUGUCGUUCGGAGUUCACGAACUCGACUCUUGGGAACACAGCGUCCUGGGUCUUGAGAGUGCCGAUCGACAUGGCGACCGAUAGUUCGGCUGCCCUUUUUCUCUUUCGACCUGAGAUUAGAUAAGAUUACCCGC
rnacentral:rRNA from 1 species